GCACGUCUGGUAGCAUCUCUGGCCGCUUUUGAUCUUGUUUUUGGAGUAAAACAUGGUGGAAGCUGAAUUAGUGAGGAUGACUCCUGCUCCUGUCAUCUCUAAGCUCCUCACACAUCUUUACCUGCACAUGAGGAAAAUCACUCCUGUAGAAUGCAGAUGUUCAGAGGGAGAUGAUGCCACAUCUGGUCCAGCUGAUGGAAGGUCUUGAAGUUCUCUGACUGGCCUCGACUGAAGAUGGUCGUCUCACUGGAUUUAAGAUGCACAAUGAGGGACGUCUGCAGAGACUGAGAAAGAGUCUCACCACAUCCUGACAUGAGGAAAAAGACUUUAUUGAAGACUACAAUGAGAAAAACUAUCAGACAGCAGACGGCUGCAUUCAAGUCUGUAGCUGCUGAAUUCAUGGAUGAAUCAUCUGGCACUAGAGAGGAAGACCAUCAAACAUCCACAUCAGCUGAUGGAGGUCCAAGAGUCUCACCAAACAAACAACCUACAGAGUGAAGACCUCAAAUCUGAUUGGACGGCCUCCUAUUCAGCCACAUCUGUGAACAAAUGCCUCUAAGUUGAUUUGUUUUCUAAAAUAAAUCUAGUUUGAGUCCUAAUCUAUGUCUG
ensembl:lncRNA